rnacentral:rRNA from 1 species
ACGACGCUGGCGGCGUGCCUAAUACAUGCAAGUCGAACGGUCUUUCUAUGGAAGCUUGCUUCCACUGAGAAGAUAGUGGCGGACGGGUGAGUAACACGUGGGUAACCUGCCCAUAAGAGGGGGAUAACAUCCGGAAACGGGUGCUAAUACCGCAUAGUUUUCUUGAUCGCAUGAUUGAGAAAGGAAAGACGGCCUUUGUGCUGUCGCUUAUGGAUGGACCCGCGGCGUAUUAGUUAGUUGGUGAGGUAAUGGCUCACCAAGACGAUGAUACGUAGCCGACCUGAGAGGGUGAUCGGCCACAUUGGGACUGAGACACGGCCCAAACUCCUACGGGAGGCAGCAGUAGGGAAUCUUCCGCAAUGGACGAAAGUCUGACGGAGCAACGCCGCGUGAGUGAAGAAAGGUUUUCGGAUCGUAAAACUCUGUUGUCAGAGAAGAACAAGUUGGAGAGUAACUGCUCCAGCCUUGACGGUAUCUGACCAGAAAGCCACGGCUAACUACGUGCCAGCCGCCGC